rnacentral:rRNA from 1 species
GACGAACGCUGGCGGCGUGCUUAACACAUGCAAGUCGAACGGAAAGGCCCUGCUUUUGUGGGGUGCUCGAGUGGCGAACGGGUGAGUAACACGUGAGUAACCUGCCCUUGACUUUGGGGUAACUUCAGGAAACUGGGGCUAAUACCGGAUAGGAGGUCCUGCUGCAUGGUGGGGGUUGGAAAGUUUCGGCGGUUGGGGAUGGACUCGCGGCUUAUCAGCUUGUUGGUGGGGUAGUGGCUUACCAAGGCUUUGACGGGUAGCCGGCCUGAGAGGGUGACCGGCCACAUUGGGACUGAGAUACGGCCCAGACUCCUACGGGAGGCAGCAGUGGGGAAUAUUGCACAAUGGGCGGAAGCCUGAUGCAGCAACGCCGCGUGCGGGAUGACGGCCUUCGGGUUGUAAACCGCUUUCGCCUGUGACGAAGCGUGAGUGACGGUAAUGGGUAAAGAAGCACCGGCUAACUACGUG